rnacentral:rRNA from 1 species
CCUACGGGAGGCAGCAGUGGGGAAUUUUGGACAAUGGGCGCAAGCCUGAUCCAGCAAUGCCGCGUGAGUGAAGAAGGCCUUCGGGUUGUAAAGCUCUUUUGUCAGGGAAGAAACGGCUGAGGCUAAUAUCCUCGGCUAAUGACGGUACCUGAAGAAUAAGCACCGGCUAACUACGUGCCAGCAGCCGCGGUAAUACGUAGGGUGCAAGCGUUAAUCGGAAUUACUGGGCGUAAAGCGUGCGCAGGCGGUUUUGUAAGUCUGUCGUGAAAGCCCCGGGCUUAACCUGGGAAUUGCGAUGGAGACUGCAAGGCUUGAAUCUGGCAGAGGGGGGUAGAAUUCCACGUGUAGCAGUGAAAUGCGUAGAGAUGUGGAGGAACACCGAUGGCGAAGGCAGCCCCCUGGGUCAAGAUUGACGCUCAUGCACGAAAGCGUGGGGAGCAAACAGGAUUAGAUACCCUGGUAGUCCACGCCCUAAACGAUGUCUACUAGUUGUCGGGUCUUAAUUGACUUGGUAACGCAGCUACGCGUGAGUAGACCGCCGUCGGGAGGUACGGUCGCGAGAAGUUAAAACGUUAAAGUAGUAAGUUAGUACGGCGUGAGACGUAGACCGACGGACGACGACGAGGGGAGGAGG